UAAUCAAACCCUCUCCUCCUUCCUCUCUUCACUAUCUUCUUCCAAACACGGCCGACCUUCCUCUUCCUCCAACCAGCCGCCACCUUCUAACUGAUCCCUGGCGAGAUGGUAGUGCGAUGGAGGUCUCAACGGCGCGGCGAGAUGGCAAGGCUCACGGUAGUGCGUUGGUUGCAACAGUGAAGAGCGACGGCGCGUGGAAGAGGAGGACGGCAGAAGGGAAGGUCAGGUUAGCUUGGGUUUGAUUG
rnacentral:pre_miRNA from 1 species